rnacentral:rRNA from 1 species
GGCGUGCUUAACACAUGCAAGUCGAACGAUGAAGCCGGAGCUUGCUCUGGGUGAAUUAGUGGCGAACGGGUGAGUAACACGUGAGUAACCUGCCCUUGACUCUGGGAUAACUGCUAGAAAUGGUAGCUAAUACCGGAUACGACCCUCGGCGGCAUCGCCAGGGGGGUGGAAAGAAUUUCGGUCAAGGAUGGACUCGCGGCCUAUCAGCUAGUUGGUGAGGUAACGGCUCACCAAGGCGACGACGGGUAGCCGGCCUGAGAGGGUGACCGGCCACACUAGGACUGAGACACGGCCCAGACUCCUACGGGAGGCAGCAGGUGGGGAAUAUUGCACAAUGGGCGCAAGCCUGAUGCAGCAACGCCGCGUGAGGGAUGACGGCCUUCGGGUUGUAAACCUUCUUUUAGUAGGGAAGAAGCGAAAGUGACGGUACCUGCAGAAAAAGCACCGGCUAACUACGUG